rnacentral:rRNA from 1 species
GGAAUAUUGCGCAAUGGGGGAAACCCUGACGCAGCAACGCCGCGUGCGCGAUGAAGGCUUUCGGGUUGUAAAGCGCUGUCGGGAGGGACGAAACGGCCCGAUUGAAUAGGUCGGGUUCUUGACGGUACCUCCAAAGGAAGCCCCGGCUCACUCCGUGCCAGCAGCCGCGGUAAUACGGAGGGGGCGAGCGUUGUUCGGAAUUAUUGGGCGUAAAGAGAACGUAGGCGGCGCGGUAAGUCCUGUGUGAAAGCCCUCGGCUCAACCGAGGACGUGCAUUGGAAACUGCCGUGCUUGAGUACGGGAGAGGAGAGUGGAAUUCCCGGUGUAGCGGUGAAAUGCGUAGAUAUCGGGAAGAACACCGGUGGCGAAAGCGGCUCUCUGGACCGUCACUGACGCUGAGGUGCGAAAGCUGGGGGAGCGAAC